UGAGGUAUGGUGUAAUGGCAGCACUUGGGAUUUUGGUUCCCCCAGUCCAGGUUCGAAUCCUGGUACCUCAA
rnacentral:tRNA from 1 species